AGACCAGCAUGGCUGAGACUGUGAGGUGAGAGAGGACCUGGCUGAUAUAAGGAACUGAGAAGUCCAUGUGGGCGCAGAUAUUCCCACCAUUGCCAUCUGCCAUGAUGGGACACAGGCAGAACUGAGCCAAUGGACGUGCUGUGCCCUUGAACCUCCAAAAUCGAAGCCAUACUUGGAGAAGAAAGCAGGAGACAGAAAGGUGGCUGUCCCAAGUUGGAGAAAGAGACCAGCAUGGGAUCAGGGAAGCCUGCAAAGAUGCUGAAGAUGACAACAUUUGGGCAGAUGCUUUCUGGAAAACAAUGUGACCAAAUGUCAUGGAAAUUAGUUUUAGUUGUUAAUAUGAAAAUAUACUUUAAUAUUUGUUAUGGUUAGGAUUAUAAAUGUCCCCAAAAGGCCUAUAUGCUAAAGGCUUGGUCACCAGCCUGUGGCACUACCGGGAGGUAUUAGAAACCCUUAGGAAGUUGGGCCAAAUAUCCACAGACUGAAACUUUUGAAACCAUGAGCCAAAAACAUCUUUCUCCCUUAUAAGUUGAUUAUUUCAGAUAUCUUGGUAACAGUGACAGAAAACUGACUAGUACAAUAUUCGUCAUGAAAAUGAUACAGAUUAAUGGAUAAAUAACUAAAACUAAUGCACUUGAACAAGUAGUUUGGGGUUUGCCUCUCUGAUGCUCAGCCUCAGAGCUCAUGCCUGGCUCCAGCCUGUCUGUGUCCUUCUGUAUAAUCAUAUACUUUAAUUUUUGCCAGCCCCAAUAUCUCUGGUUUCUAUGCCAGAUGCAGUGCUAGCAGCCUCAAGCUGAUUGGGAGAGCCUUGGUUGAUUAAUAAGUGCCCUUGCCAAGUAGGGAUGGUGCCAUGGGAUUGAAUUCCACUCUACACCAUGCUUUGCAACUAAAGUCAUCUAGAACAGAUGGCCUUGUUACCAGGACUGUGUUUAAACUGCUGUUCUAGUUAUAAGACUAGUUGUGCUUUACUGUGAAAUUACUGAAAUAUUAUUUGGAUAGUAAUUACCCAGUCAUAAGAUUUAAAAUCCUGGGUCAACAUGUUCAUUCUGGGAGGUGAGUAUAUAAUUUUAUGUAUUUUUCUUUUUUGACCAACAUCUCAUUGACCAGUUACUAUAGGUUUCUAGUCCUUUGUAAAUUGCCUUCAAAUUAUAUUCCUCCUAGUAUCAGUGUAUCUAUAAAGAGCCUUCAUCUAGAAAAGUUUUGGCCAGCUAUCAAGGAUUAUCUGUCAUUUCUUCUCCUUUUUAAUUCUGUCCCUCUUCAGGGAUAUCUAUUUCUGAUCUCUGCAACAGACCCCAAAGCUGGGAAAAACACAGACCACUGACCACCAGAGCCCACAUUCAGGCUGCCCCAUACCUGCUUUCUUGGUCACCCCUGGAGGAGAUCACUUAAGGGGCCAAAGUUACUCCUGGGGUUCAAGCAAAAGUGGGAGACAGCCCCCCCCCCCACCUUGUUAUUGCAUCUCCAAUUCACUCCUGCAAAUAAACAGCCUGCCAGCUUUCAUGCUAGGUUUUCUAUCCUGCAGCUUGAGCAUCCACCAUGGUUGUCUAGGGAGACAAAGCUGAGAGACAAAUCCCCCUCCACUGGCCUCUGACGUUCUGUUCUGGGCCAGGCUAAUCAGCUUGACACUUUCAGCAAGUUCUCAUUGGGGAGCCUCCCCAAUGCCUCUCCUAAGAAGACCUUUUCCAGCCCACAAUCCUUUGUGGCAUUUGCAGGGUCAGACAUUGGGUACCAGGAACUAUUUAUUAGCAUCUACUAUGAUUAGGCACUCUUGUCAUUGUUGAGCUGUUGUGCGACUUGAGAGGGCAAUUGCCUAAGCACUGGCCAAUUCCAGCCUUUACCCCAAGGAGGAGUACCUCCUGCUGAAUGAUCACACCAGAGAUGCCAACUCAUUACUACAUGUAUGGGGACCUCAUCUCAAUAUAACCAGAAAUUUUCUCAAAGAUUCUUAGAGCCUCUACCAUAGACUGCCCCUCAGGAACCCUUGAGUUCCUUACCUGACUAUGUGCUCUGCUUCUGUUAUGUAGCAGCACCCUUUUCUCCUCUGCUCUUUUUGUUCUUGGUCUGAGCUAUACUGUAUUUUCCCCCCGAGUGGCGGAGAGGAGAAGGGUACUGGAAAGAGAAUAAACUGAAAAAGCUGUAGGGGAUUGUAUACACAAUAAUACCCAAAACCAGUCCAUUCUUUCGUUUAAGUUAAAUGAAGAACACCAACACACAAGAAUUUAGAACUAAAAGUAUAGAAAUGGCUUUGCCUGCAAUUUAUGAAUUUUUUUCUGAGUUGGUGUUUCAAAGAAAAAGGAAUUUAAAAUCCUAAAAGCAAUUAGCAUAUCUGUAGAUAACUAAAAAGUCUGCUAGGCUGUGUCCAGCCCUCCCAUUAGUGCAGCUGCUUGUGGAAAAAGUGAGAGCAGAGACCUGAAAUACUAUGUAUCCUUUGCGGGGGUGUGUAGGGGAGGGGUGGAUGUCAGUGUCUACUGUUACAUGAGCAUGUGAUUAAUUUUGAAGGUAGAAUUUCAGAACAUCAUAUUUUGGUAAGAAAUUUGAAUGGUAAGUGGGUAAAAAUAUCUGGCAAAGCAAAAUAUAGUAUUUGCAGGGUUCAGCAAAUACUAUUGAUAUAGGGCCUGUGAUAUAUGAACCUCCAAAUAAAAUAAGGGAAAUAUUAAAACUCCCAACUUGCUAGAUGUCCAAUUCGCUGAGUUCAGAUUCUCUAAAAUCAAAGAAUGAAUUCUAGGAACAAUGGAGGUUAAGAGUAGGAAGAAUUUAUUGAGAGAAAGAUACUUUCUAAGAGAGACAGAAGGGGGGCCCAAAAAGUGGGAUGCCCAUGGACCCUGCUUUUAAAGGGAGUUUUAUAGAGCAAAGCCACAAGGUGUGUGUGUGGGGGUGUGU